rnacentral:rRNA from 1 species
UACGUAGGGGGGCUAGCGUUGUCCGGAAUCAUUGGGCGUAAAGAGCGUGUAGGCGGUCCGGUAAGUCCGCUGUGAAAGUCGGGGGCUCAACCCUCGAAUGCCGGUGGAUACUGUCGGGCUAGAGUGCGGAAGAGGCGAGUGGAAUUCCUGGUGUAGCGGUGAAAUGCGCAGAUAUCUGGAGGAACACCGGUGGCGAAGGCGGCAUCCUGGACCAAUAUUGACGCUGAGGAGCGAAAGCCAGGGGAGCAAACGGG